UUUAGAUAAAAGUACAUGUGAUAGUUUAUAUAAUUUAAAAAACUCACUACGAGAAGAACAACACAAGAUAAUAAAUAACAUUGAAAAUCUAGAAUUAGAUAUACAUUAUAGUACAGAUAGGAUAAAUUAUUAUACAAGAAUUUGUAACUCUGCAAUUACUACAGGAUAAAAUAAUUAAUGAAUAUAUCUUACGAAAAAAGUAAAUUAUUAAAAGAUAUUAAAACAAAAUAUCCACGCACUAAUAAAAAUAGAUUCACUAGAAACCUACUAAAUCUAUU
rnacentral:lncRNA from 1 species